rnacentral:rRNA from 1 species
GUAAGUUCACGCCACGCAUUAGAACGGGCGAAACCGCGAAUGGCUCAGGAACCGGACCUAAUCCUCGGGACCGUAAUCCUCUUCGGAGGCGAUGGAUAACUGUGGCAAUUCUAGAGCUAAUACAUGUGAUACAGGCCGCGAUCGGUCGGCGCGUUGUCGUCGCCUCGCCUUCUUGCGCGCUGGCACCCGCGUCGGCCGUUACGGGUCGCGGCGCUACAUAUUAGACUGAGACCGAUGCGCGUACAUCCGUCCUCCUGUCGUGUCGUCGUGGCUGGCACUCGCUGUCGACCGCGGUGGCUGGCAGGGCUCAUAGGGCGGCGCGCUCCGCUUUGGUGACUCUGGAUAACUCACUGGUCGAUCGCACGGGCUCCCAUGCUCGGCGACGGGUCUCUCGAGGGUCCGCCCUAUCAACUGUCGACGGUCGGUUAAGUGCCUACCGUGGUUACUACGGGUAACGGGGAAUCGGGGUUCGAUUCCGGAGAGGGAGCAUGCGAAACGGCUACCACAUCCAAGGAAGGCAGCAGGCGCGCAAAUUACCCACUCCCGGCACGGGGAGGUAGUGACGAAAAAUAACGACGCGGGACUCUGUCGAGGCCCCGCGAUCGGAAUGAGUACACUUCAAAUCCGUUAACGAGGACCAACCGGAGGGCAAGUCUGGUGCCNNNNNNUUUUGAUUNGUCGUCCGUUCGAUUCCCGGCCCUUUCCGCCGGUGUCAACCGCUAGCAUAUCCGCCUUGUGGUCCUGCCGGCGAGGUGGACGAGGUGGUCGAGUCGGGAUCCGGGAGCGGUUCCGGGCGGGGGUCGUACCACGGGGUCGUAAGUGGUAGUUGCGUCGGCGUCGCUUCUUUACUCGAGGGGGCGAGAAUCGCGUGCGUUUACGCGUGCGUCGUUUUCUCCGUCUCCCCGCCGCGAGUAGUUCGUCGGUCGUUUCUGCCGCCCUUCCUCGCUUCGUCCCCCCUCUCCCUCCCCCUGGCCCACACCGAGUCCUUGCUUCGUGUCUGCGCGCGCUUGUUGCGGUCGGCGGUUUCUCCUCCAAGGGUGCUCUUAACCGAGUGUCCGCGGCGGCCGGUACGUUCACUUUGAAAAAAUUAGAGUGCUCAGAGCGGGCUGUUCAAGCUUGCAUACGAUAAGCAUGGAAUGAUGGAAGAGGGCCUCGUCUACGUCUGUCGGUCUCCGUCUACGGCGAGGCAAUGAUCGAAGGGAGCGGUCGGGGCCACUCGUAUUGCGACGUUAGAGGUGAAAUUCUUGGAUCGUCGCAAGACGAACUGCAGCGAUGGCGUGUGGCAAGCACGUUUUCCUCGAUCAAGAGCGAAAGUCGGAGGUUCAAGACGAUCAGAUACCGUCGUAGUUCCAACCGUAAACGAUGCCGACCGGCGAUCCGCCGGCGUUCGCUUCCAUGACCCGGCGGGUAGCCUGCGGGAAACCAGAGUUCGGUUCCGGGGGGAGUAUGGUUGCAAAGCUGAAACUUAAAGGAAUUGACGGAAGGGCACCACCAGGAGUGGAGCCUGCGGCUUAAUUUGACUCAACACGGGAAAACUCACCCGGUCCGGACACCGGUAGGAUUGACAGAUCGAUAGCUCUUUCUCGAUUCGGUGGGUGGUGGUGCAUGGCCGUUCUUAGUUGGUGGAGCGAUCCGUCUGGUUGAUUCCGAUAACGAACGAGACUCCGGCCUGCUAACUAGUGCGCCGAUGUGUGUGAUUUUUACGGCGGGCUCGUCGGCGUCCAUCGUGGCGCCCGGGUCCGGGUCGGUUUUCUCACGCACUUCUUAGAGGGACGGGUGGCAGAAAGCCACACGAGGCGGAGCGAUAACAGGUCUGUGAUGCUGUCUGUGAUGCCCUUAGAUGUCCGGGGCCGCACGCGCGCUACACUGGAGGUAUCAGCGGGGACUUCGCCCCGGCCCGAGAGGGUUGGGAAACCUCUUAACCACCUCCCGUGAUAGGGAUCGGGGCCUGUAACCAACCCCGUGAACGAGGAAUUCCCGGUAGGCGCGGGUCAACAGCCCGCGUCGAUCACGUCCCUGCCCUUUGUACACACCGCCCGUCGCUACUACCGAUCGAACGGUCCGGUGAGGUCCUCGGAUCUGGCCGACGACGCCGCCGGGCAGUGUGCGUAGUGUCGGCAACGAUGCUCGUGCGUCUCCGCCUCGGCGUUCGAUGCCUGGAGAAGACGACCGAACCCGAUCGUUUAGAGGCAGUAAAAGUCGACAAGGA